rnacentral:tRNA from 1 species
GACCCGGUAGCUCAGCUGGCAGAGCAACGGACUUUUAAUCCGUAGGUCCUGGGUUCGAUCCCCAGCCGGGUCA